AUGUGCAUUUAACAUUAGCACAUAUGUUGUGGAGACUGAAGAACAAUGGGAUGUCAUCAAUACCUCUGAUAUGGUAGUCAGAACUGAAGUUAUCUUAUCAUAUGCAGGAUAUCUAUCCUUCAUUGACUUAACUUCUGUCAAAGUAGACACUACCCACUCUUGGUCAUGUAUAGGAGCAGACCAUAUUGGCCCUCCUAUAGUAAAUUUCUUCCCACAGGCACUGCACUCUUGAGGAACAACAGGCCCAAUGGCAGGCGCAUUCUUCACACUGUUGUUCUUCAUUAUGGUCCUACCAAGACACUGAAGAUGAAAUGAAUCGCAACCAACACAUUGAUAUACAUAAGAAAGCUUUUGAGGAGUCUUCUUUACUUCGAACUCACGUAAAUACUCGGACAAAAACACGGAUGUAGAAAUCCAUAGACACAGAGAGAACAGGCACAAUAUAUCUUAACUGAGUGAUAUAGGUACCUCAAUACUGGCAAGGAGGAUUCGCAAAGCCAUUUCAUGGUUAUACUUCCCUUUGUAGUAAUGUCCAUACUUGGAGUGGCAAACUUCACCAUUUGGCCCACAUAGAACCGCCAUAUCAGUGGCAGUGCACAUUAAUAGCCCACCAUCAGCAACAGCCUGUACAGCCGAAUCAAGGAAAAUAGAAGGUGCUCCAUAGGGAAAGGCUUACCACAUCAAACUCUUUUGGAUGUGUGAGCAUAUAAACUCGAGCAUCAGUCAAAUGAGGCUCGAUCUUACUCAUAGCAGAAGCACCAUUAAACUUUAUAUUCCGCUUGCAAGCUUCAAUACAAGCUUUAUCAAUGUCCAGAGCGACCACCUUUUCUAACACGUCUAUUUCACGAGCAUAACGGAUAGAUCUCAACCCAGAAGCAGCCAAAGCCUGCAUUUAAACAACUGGUGCCUUAAGCUCUCUGGCUACUUUCCGCGAAGGUGUCUUUGUUGCUUCUGUUGACAGAUCUUCUGUUUCAUCCGCAACUUUAUUUGUUUCCUUUUCAGCAUCAACAUCCAUUUCAUCAUGCUGUCCUGUUGACCCAUUCUCUCCAUUUGGACCAGAUGAUUUACUCUGGCUCACUUUGUUAUGCGCCUUGUCCCUCUUAUCCAUCAUUGCCUUAUGUUCUUCCUCACGCUUGGCAAUGAAAGUCCUUAAAAGAGCAACUGACAUAUCUCUAUUGUGGACCUGCACGGGAUUGUAGAACACUUCAUUUGCUGCUAUUUUCUUGUUGAUGAUGAUCUCCGCCUCGCCUUCCCUCACAAUCUCAUAGUCCUUUAGCUUGUUCUCCACAUCCUCCAUCUCUCCGAAUCCAAUCCAAUCCA
rnacentral:sRNA from 1 species